GAUCCGGCUCAGGAUGAACGCUGGCGGCGUGCCUAACACAUGCAAGUCGAGCGAAGCACUUUGCUUAGAUUCUUCGGAUGAAGAGGAUUGUGACUGAGCGGCGGACGGGUGAGGUAACGCGUGGGUAACCUGCCUCAUACAGGGGGAUAACAGUUAGAAAUGACUGCUAAUACCGCAUAAGACCACAGCACCGCAUGGUGCGGGGGUAAAAACUCCGGUGGUAUGAGAUGGACCCGCGU
rnacentral:rRNA from 1 species